rnacentral:rRNA from 1 species
AUACGUAGGGGGCGAGCGUUGUCCGGAAUGAUUGGGCGUAAAGGGCGCGUAGGCGGCCCGGUAAGUCUGGAGUGAAAGUCCUGUUUUUAAGAUGGGAAUUGCUUUGGAUACUGUCGGGCUUGCGUGCAGGAGAGGGAAGUGGAAUUCCCAGUGUAGCGGUGAAAUGCGUAGAGAUUGGGAGGAACACCAGUGGCGAAGGCGACUUACUGGACUGUAACUGACGCUGAGGCGCGAAAGUGUGGGGAGCAAACAGGAUUAGAUACCCUGGUAGUCCACACUGUAAACGAUGAAUGCUAGGUGUAGGGGGUAUCGACCCCUUCUGUGCCGCAGUCAACACAAUAAGCAUUCCGCCUGGGGAGUACGGCCGCAAGGUUGAAACUCAAAGGAAUUGACGGGG